GGCACUGUACUACAGUGGUUAGGGAGGUGGGCAUAUAACUCAGAGGUUGUGGGUUUGAUUCCCAGAUGGGGCA
rnacentral:tRNA from 1 species